ensembl:lncRNA
UUUUUUUAUUUUUUUUUUUUUUAUCACUUUUUGAAUAAAGCCUCACAUGCAUUUUGCAUCACCCAUUUAAACACUUCAAAGUGAUGAUCAAAAUCUUUUUGACGAUGAAUUUUAUACUUGGUUCCGAAGGCACCAUCUGCAGAGGGCUUUCCAUAAAACACUCUUUUGAUUCUUGAGUGGACCAAAGCCAUUGCACACAUCACACACGGCUCUCGAGUGAUGUAAAGGUCAUAUCCGGUGCAGAUAUAAGGCUGUCCAGUUUCUUUGGCAUAGCAGGCAUUCCUAAAGGACUCAGAGCUGCUAAACCGACAGGCUGGAUAUUUCUCAUAAUUGUAUAAUAGGCGCCUCCUCCUUGCCCACAAGCCACGAGAUCAAUACAGACCAUGACAGCAUGAUGGAGUGGAUGAGAGCCACACUUACAGUCAUGACCCACUGCAACAAUCUGCUCAGAUUCUCCAGCCUCUACAGCCGCUGUCAUGUACUCUUGCAUUUUAGCUUUCUGAUCGGCAGUGAAUAACUGGCCUCUCAGAGCAGACGUCACUUGUUUGUCCUCGUGAAAUGAUGUAGGCGAGUGUUUACUAGCUUUUUCAAACUGUGGUCUAGUUAGUGGAGGAUUGGCGGGUAUUUUGACAAGAAAAGGUUCUCCCAAAACAAUGGAGUCAAAAGACUGAAUGAAGCAGAUCAGCAAGUGUAACUCCUUUGCAGUCUAUCACCUGCAAAUCCCUGGCCAAGCACACGAUGACCUCCAAAGGGUGAGAUCUUUGCAGGCCCUCACACUUUUUAUGUGAUGCAGACCUGGUAGAGGGUAGAUCAGGGAAAGCUCUUUGACCAGGCGAGAUGUUUGUCUUUUCUCGAUAAUGGGUGCAGUUUAGGCCGGCAACAAUUCAGUGUCCCGGGACUGUUCAUCAGAGAGAACUGGAAGAACAUCCCAAGUAUCAUAUUUGACCAUUUCUUUUCUUCGUUUGGCUUGUGGCUCCAUCUUGUUCAAUUCAUUUAAUAAUUUUUCUGGGGUUUCCUGAUGUCAUCUGUAGAAGCAGAAUGUGACAAAAAAAAAGUUACUGCCUGAAGAACUGAUUUUAGACUCAAAAUGUCCUCAUCAUGAACCUGGCUUAGGCUUAUUAUAGUUAACUAAAACCACAAUAAAAUAUUCAUUACUUGAAAUAAAACAAACUUGAACAUAAGUAAAAUAUUUUAUUAAAAUUAAACUUUUUUUCAGCUAUUUAGCUUAACUUAAUGUACUAAACAACUAAACUAAAACUAAGAUAAAAAUAGACAUUAAAUAAACUAAUAAAACUGACAAAAUAUGCACAAAAUUAAUACAAUUUUAAAUAAAAAUAAAAUGAAAUAAAUACUACGAAGCCUAUGAAAAUACAACCUAAUUCAAAAAAUAAUAAUAAAAAAAAACUAUAAUAGUAUGACACUAAAAUAACACUAUCAUGGACUUUGUAACACAGAAAAGUAUGUAAAUGGAUAAUGUGGACAGAAAACAAUUGUAAUAUAUUGACCCUUUUUUUCAAAAAUAAUUGUCAUGAACUUGCAUAUUAUAAAAAAAAAAUUGGAACUUUGUAAAAAUCCAUAAAAACUACCAAAUACAAAC